rnacentral:rRNA from 1 species
AGUGUUGCGGUUAAAAAGCUCGUAGUUGGAUUUCUGUUGAGGAUGGCCAGUCCGCACUUUGUGCGAGUAUUUGGUUCAGCCUCGGCAUCCUCCUGGGGAGCGUGCCUGUACUUAAUUGUAUGACGCGUAAUUCAGGACUUUUACUUUGAGGAAAUUAGAGUGUUCACGGCAGGCGAUAGCCUUGAAUAUGUUAGCAUGGAAUAAUAAUAUAAGACCUCGGUUUUAUUUUGUUGGUUUCUAGAAGCGAGGUAAUGAUUAAUAGGGAUAAUUGGGGGUAUUCGAAUUAAUGCGUCAGAGGUGGAAUUCUUGGAUUGCAUUACGACGAACUACUGCGAAAGCAUUUACCAAGGAUGUUUUCAUUG